rnacentral:tRNA from 2 species
AGGGAUUUAAGUUAACAAAACUAAUAGCCUUCAAAGCUUUAAUUGAUUCAAAAUCAAUCCCUA